AGUGAACGCUGGCGGUAGGCCUAACACAUGCAAGUCGAACGGCAGCACAGUAAGAGUUGGCUCUAACGGUGGGCGAGUGCCGGACGGGGGAGGAAUAAAUGGGAAUCUACUUUUUCGUGGGGGUUACGGAGGGGAACCUUACGCUAAUACCGCAUACGACCUACGGGUGAAAGCAGGGGUCCUUCGGACCUUGCGCGAUGGAUUAAGCCGAUGUCGGAUUAGCUAGUUGGCGGGGUAAAGGCCCACCAAGGCGACGAUCCGUAGCUGGUCUGAGAGGAUGAUCAGCCACACUGGAACUAAGACACGGUCCAGACUCCUACGGGAGGCAGCAGUGGGGAAUAUUGGACAAUGGGCGCAAGCCUGAUCCAGCCAUACCGCGUGGGUGAAGAAGGCCUUCGGGUUGUAAAGCCCUUUUGUUGGGAAAGAAAAGCAGCAGGUUAAUACCCCGCUGUUCUGACGGUACCCAAAGAAUAAGCACCGGCUAACUUCGU
rnacentral:rRNA from 1 species